UGCGUAGGUGGCGAGCGUUGUCCGGAUUUACUGGGCGUAAAGCGCGCGCAGGCGGCAGUCUAAGUCCUCUGUGAAAUCACCCGGCUCAACUGGGUGGCUGCGGAGGAGACUGGGCAGCUUGAGGGGCCUAGAGGCCGGUGGAACUCCCGGUGUAGUGGUGAAAUGCGUAGAGAUCGGGAAGAACACCAGUGGCGAAGGCGGCCGGCUGGGGGCGCCCUGACGCUGAGGCGCGAGAGCGUGGGGAGCGAACAGG
rnacentral:rRNA from 1 species